UACGUAGGUGGCAAGCGUUGUCCGGAUUUACUGGGCGUAAAGAGCGCGCAGGCGGUCGAUUUAGUCGCGUGUGAAAGCCCCCGGCUCAACUGGGGAGGGUCACGCGAUACUGAUCGACUCGAAGGCAGGAGAGGGUAGUGGAAUUCCCGGUGUAGUGGUGAAAUGCGCAGAUAUCGGGAGGAACACCUGCGGCGAAGGCGGGUUGCUGGGCUGAUACUGACGCUGAGGCGCGAAAGCCAGGGGAGCGAACGGG
rnacentral:rRNA from 1 species